rnacentral:rRNA from 1 species
AUGCAUUGGAAACUUUCUGAGCAUCGAGCACGGGAUCUUGCUGACCAAAACGAGGAAUUAUGUCAUAUUGGAGAUCUUGUGUGGAACCUCCGCGGAUACUGCAUAAAUAUACUUUAUGUAGAGCUCUGGCACUGGUGGUCUCUGAAACUGGACACUAACAAUUCAUGUUUCAGUAAGCAUCUUUUGCAUGAAGGUAAGCAUUGGUUUUCAGAACUCUGUUCAUGCUCUAUUACUUCUGCUCCUGUACUACAACAUUCUUGGCUUGCUACUAUGGCUGCACCUCUGUGUCGGAGAAUGCGGGAAAUGGGUAUCGGUCUUCACUUAAUACAGUUCGAGCAAUUACUGUCGUUUGAUAAAGCUAGCAUCAAUGAUCAAUGGCAACUUGACUAG